rnacentral:rRNA from 1 species
UACGAAGGGGGCUAGCGUUGUUCGGAUUUACUGGGCGUAAAGCGCACGUAGGCGGAUCGUUAAGUCGGGGGUGAAAUCCUGGAGCUCAACUCCAGAACUGCCUUCGAUACUGGCGAUCUUGAGUCCGGAAGAGGUGAGUGGAACUCCUAGUGUAGAGGUGGAAUUCGUAGAUAUUAGGAAGAACACCCGUGGCGAAGGCGGCUCUCUGGGACGGUACUGACGCUGAGACGCGAAAGCAUGGGGAGCGAACAGG